CUCCGCGCCCUGCGCGGCGCCGGAAGCGGCCGGCCGGCCCCCUCCCCGCGGCGCCCGCCGCCUUAUCUCGGCGCCUCUGGGCCGCGGGAGGAGUCGCGGGCGCGCCAGGAGGGACGCGGCGGCGGCGGCGGCGGCAUGGGCCGGGGGCCCCGGGGCGCGGGCCGCCCGCCUCGCCGCCUGCUGCCGCUCCUGCUGCUGCUCGGCCUGGCCCGUGGCGCGAGCGGAGCGCGGGGCGCCGACGGUUUAGAUGUCUGUGCCACUUGCCACAAACAUGCUACCUGCAAGCAAACAGAAGGGAUGAAGAUGUGUAUUUGCAAGUACGGAUUUGUGGGCAAUGGGAGGACUCACUGCGUUGAUAAAAAUGAGUGCCAGUUUGGAGCCACUGUGGUCUGUGGAAACCACACAUCUUGCCACAACACGCUCGGAGGCUUUUAUUGCAUUUGCCUAGAAGGAUAUCGAGCCACGAAUAACAACAAAACAUUCAUUCCCAAUGAUGGCACCUUUUGCACAGACAUAGAUGAGUGUGAGGUUUCCGGCCUGUGCAGACAAGGAGGACGGUGUGUGAACACUUAUGGAAGUUUCGAAUGCUACUGUAUGGAUGGGUACUUGGCAAAGAAUGGGCCUGAGCCUUUCCACCCGACCAGAGACGCCACGUCAUGCACAGAAAUAGACUGUGGCACCCCUCCUGAGGUCCCAGAUGGCUAUAUCGUAGGAAAUUAUACUUCUAGGCUUGGCAGCCAGGUUCGUUAUGCUUGCAAAGAAGGAUUUUUCAGUGGCCUGGAAGAUACAGUUUCAAGCUGCACAGCCUUGGGCACGUGGGAGUCCCCAAAAUUAAAUUGCCAAGAGAUCAACUGUGGCCAUCCUCCGGAAGUGCAGCAUGCGGUCCUGGUGGGGAAUCACAGCUCCAGGCUGGGCAGUGUGGCUCAUUACGUCUGUCAAGAGGGCUUUGAAAGCCCUAGAGGAAAGAUCAUUUCCAUUUGCACAGAGAAAGGCACUUGGAGAGAAAGUCCUUUGACAUGCACAGAAAUAAUUGCAGAAGUUAAUGAUGUAUCAGUGUUUAAUAACAGCUGUGUGAGGUGGCAAAUAAACCCAGGAAGAACAGUCUCCAAGAUUAUCUAUGUGAUACACAUAAAAGGACAACGGUUGCACCCUGUGGAAUCAGUUCAUGAGGAGACCGUCAACUUGACCACAGACAGCAGGACCCCCGAAGUGUGCCUAGAUCUGUACCCAGGCACCAACUACACCGUGAGCAUCUUCACCGCCCUGCCCACACGCUCCGUGCCCACCAUCAUUGGGUUCCAGACAGCUGAAGAUGAUCUCUCAGAAGAUGAUGCAACUUUCAAUAUUUCAAUAUUUAGCGAAGCUUGUUUGAAACUGAGCAGGGGCCCUAGGAAAGCUGGAUCAGAACAAACGUACCAAUUUAAAGUUCUAGGUCAGAGGUGGUAUCUGAAUAAUUUUUAUCAUGCCACAUCAUUUAACUUCACAACGAGGGAACAAGCUCCAGUAGUGUGUUUAGACCUGUACCCAGCAGCGGAUUACACAGUGAAUAUCACUCUACUGGGAUCUUCUGAGCAGCACUCAGUGCAAAUAACAAUGACAACUGCACCAGCAGUAAAACAGAUCAUCAGUAACAUUUCAAUAUUUAAUGAAACCUGCUUGAGAUGGAGAAGUACAAAAACAGCUGAUACAGAGGAGAUGUAUUCAUUCCACAUUCAGGGCCAGAGAUGGUAUCAGAAGGAAUUUUCCCAGGAAAUAAUCUUUAAUAUCACUACCAGCAGUCAGGCUCCCGAGAUGUGCUUGGACCUGCAUCCGGGCACCAACUACAGUGUCCACGUCCAGGCUUUGUCUUCUGAACUUCCUGUGGUCCUCUCCCUGACAACCCAGAUAACAGAGCCUCCCCUUCCAGAAGUAGACUUUGUCACAGUGCAUGGAAGGCCUCUACCACGUCUGAGACUGAGGAAAGCCAAGGAGAAAAAUGGACCGAUCAGUUCCUACCAGGUGUUGGUGCUUCCCCUGGCCCUCCAAAGCACUUUUUUUUGUGAUUCUGAAGGGGCUACCUCAUUCUUUAGCAACACCUCUGAUGCCAGUGGAUAUGUGGCUGCGGAACUACUGGCCGAAGAUGUUCCAGAUGAUGCCAUGGAGAUAUCUAUUGGGGACAGGCUGUACUAUGGGAAAUACUAUAAUGCACCUUUGAGAAAAGGGAAUGAUUACUGGAUUAUAUUACGAAUCACAAGUGAAUGGAAUAAGGUGAGAAGAUGCUCCUGUGCAGUUUGGGCUCACGUGAAAGAUUCGUCAUUCAUGCUGCAGCACAUGGUGGGCGUUGGGCUGGGCUCCGUGGCUGUUGUGAUUAUUCUCGCAUUCCUGUCCUUCUCAGCCGUGUGAUUGCAGACGGGCACUACCUGUGGAGGAUGCACGGUGCUGAGGCAGAUGUUAUGGCUGUUUCUCAGGUGCCUGCCUAGACAGAGGCCCCAUGUGACUUUCACCCAGGAGGGUCUCACCGAGCAAUGGCCGAAUGAGCAAUGGCCGAAUGUCGGCUGCAACCAGGAAUGCCUGCUGGACCCUGCUGUUGCCGGUUCCCCAAGACUGCGGCCAGGUGCCAGCCAGCCCCAGAAAAAGUUCAUGAGACAGUGUAGCAGCAGCGUUUCAGGGAUUAUGGAAAAUCUCUACACACAUCUGGCACCAGACUUCACCCUCAACGACCUUGCCCCAGUACCAGCGAAUGUGGCUGCCUUCCGGGGUCUGCUGGGACCAGGUGGCUUCAACAGUCUCUACCAAAUGUCCCUUCCAGCAGUGGAACCGCUUUUCCCCGUGUGGCCUCAGAACCUCCCGGACUCCACUCUGUUCCUGGGGAUUCGCCCUUCCCACCAGAGCACCACCAGGUAUCGAGCUGCGGAGUUGCAGCCUUUGUGCUCCCCUUGUUUACAGUCUUAAUGGAGUUUAAGCCCUCUCUCCUUUCUCCCUUUUUAGUUUAGUCCCUGCGGCUGUUUCCAAUUUCCCACUUUCUCUCCAGCUGCUUUUGGGAACAGGUGCUUUUCCCGUAUGCUCCCCCUUCCCCAGUCUCCGUCCUCUCUCCACCUGCAAAAGGGGUUCCUUACCUUUUGUGGCUUCUCGCUCCCCAAGUUCAGCUCUCCGCGCCGCGUACCUGCUGAAUUCUGUGGUUCAGGUUGUGCAGAUUGUUGUGUUAAUCCUCCAAUCAGUUUUCUAGGUGUGUAGGAUGGUUUAGUGUUGGUCUGGCUGUAUUUCAUGGAUGUGAAACACACAAAAAGCUUCCAUGCUAUUCUGCCAUCUUGGCUCCUCCCCCAACAUACUUCCUUUUGAGGCUGUGGGGAAGCAGGCACUCAAACAUUGUUAGGUUAUGGAAUGAUACAACCUCUAUGAAAAGGAAGGAAACCUGGCAAUACUUACAUUGCCUUUGUCCAGGUGCCUUUAUCCUGUAACUCAGAAUUCCCACUUCUUGUAGGUUCACUUGCAUAUGUUGAAAAUGACACAUGUACAGGGUUACUUGCUGUGACCUAGUUCAUAAUCAAAAAAGCAGAGAAACAACCCAUAUGCCUCUCCAGAGGAAAUGAACAAUGAUAUCUCCAUGUAACACAGUGGAAUAACCAUGCAGUUGUGGAAAGGGGAUGGAGAAGAGCUUUAUGUACUGAUAUGGAGAGAUUUGUAAGAUAUAUUGUUUUUUUUUUUUUUAAUGUUUAUUUUUGAGAGGGAGAGAGACACACACCCAGUGUGAGUGGGGAAGAAGCAGAGAGAAGGAGACAACAGAAUUCAAAGCAGGCUCCAGGCUCUGAGCUGUCAGCACAGAGCCUGACAUGGGAUUUGAACCCACAAACCAUGAGAUCAUGACCUGAGCUGAAGUUGGACACUUAACUGAGACACCCAGGAAUCCCUCUAAGAUACAUUGUUUUAAUGAGAAGAGCAAGGUAGAGAAUACUGGAUAUGGUAUGCUAUGCUUUGUGUAAGAGGGGAAAUGAAAAUAUGUAUUCAAUUUUAUAUAAAGAAACACUGGAACAAUAACAGUGAAUUAAUGAAAAUGGUUACAAAUAGAGCAAGGAAUAAUGGGGUGGAGGUGGACAGGGUGAAAGUGAGUCUUUUGAGUGUUUAUCUUCUUAUUUUGUUGUGAUUUUUUUUUUCAUUUUAUUUUAGAGCAAGGGAGCACAAGCAGACGGUUGGGGAAAAGGGAGAGAGAGAGAGACAGAAUCUUAAGCAGACUUUAUGCUCAGUAUAGAGCCCAACACAGGGCUUGAUCCCACAGCCCUAAGAGCAUGACCUGAGCCAAAAUCAAGAGUUGGACGCUCAACCGACUGACCCACCCAAGCACCCCACCAAAGUAUUAUUUUAAACAAAAAUAUUUUCCUCCUUAAUUCUGUUGCCAGCUGUUAACUUAAACAUUACAUAUCUGGCUUUCUUUCUUCUUUUUUUUAAUGUGUAUUUAUUUUUGAGAGAGAAAUAGAGAGUGGGCAGGGGAGGGACAGAGAGAGAAGGAGGGAAUCCCAAGCAGGCUCCACACUGUUAGCACAGAGCCCACUGCCAGGUUCGAACUCAUGAACCAUGAGAUCAUGACCUGAGCUGAAAUCGAGUCAGGUGCUUAACUGACUGAGCCACCCAAGCACCCCUACAUAUUUGGCCUUCUGAAAUUUUCCCGAAGCUGCUUAUUAUUGAGUUCAUUUUUCCUUGCUGCACAGUAGUGAUUCAGAUUUCUUAAAAGCUUUUUGUGAAUCUUUGGUAAUGUGACUUUGGGAGACAACUAGAAACUAGAAAGUGAAUUUUUAUAAGAGAAAUAUAGUAAAGACUAUAUAUGCUUAUAGCCAUGUGUUAAUUUUCUAUUUGCUAUGUAUCAAAUUACCACAAACUUAGUGGCUUAAAACAAUACACACUUACUAUGCCCCAGUUUGUAUGGGUCAAGAGUCCAGGUUUAGUUUAGUUGGAUUCUCUGCUCAAGGUAUCACAAGUCUGCAGUCAAGGUAUUGGCUAGGUUGCAUUUUCAGCUGGAGGUUCGACUGAGGAAAAUUUCUCUAACGUGCUUAUGUAGAUUGUUGGCAGUGUUCAUUUCCUUGUGGUUGUAGGGCUGGGGUGGGGGGGUCCCAACAUUUUGCUGGCUGGUGGCUGGUGGCUCAGGUCCUAGAUGCCUGGAUGCCUGUUUGUCUGCCACAUGGGCUUCCUGAACACAACUGUCUAGUUCAUCAAGCCAGCAACGAGAAUCUAUGACUGCAGGGAGGUGUUCAGUCCCUCUUUUAAAGGGCUUUCAUCUAAGUUAGGCCCACCCAGGAUAAUCUCCUUUUUAACGAACUAAAAAUUGGGGCACCUGGGUGGCUCAAUUGGUUAAGUGUCCGACUUCAUCUCAGGUCAUGAUCUCAUGGUUUGUGAGUUGAGCACCACAUCAGGCUCUCUGCUGUCAGCGUAGAGCCUGCUUCAAAUCUUCUGUCCCCCUCUCUCUGCCCUUCCCCUGCUCGUGUCUGCGUGUGCUCUCUCUCUCUCUCUCUCAAAAACAAAUAAACGUUAAAAAAUAAUAAAUUUAAUUAAAAAUUAACUAAUUGGCCUUAAUUAUGUCUAUAAAAUCCUUUCACUUGUGCUGUAUUCUGUUGGUUAGAAAUAAGUUCCAAUGGAGGGGGACAUCUGAUGUGAACACUAGGGGGCAGGGAUUGUGGGCCAUUUUAGAUUUCUGCCUGCUACAAGUUGCUAAAGAAAAAAAUCAAUGAUAAACUUUAAACCCCACUACGGUAUUUCCUGGGUCCUUCUGACACGGCUAUUUGACUUUAGGGCCAAACCCUAGGGCAUAAUUCUGUUCUCUCUAAGGAGAGGUGCCAAGGCUUACAGGAGUAGAAAUGGUCAAUGGCCCUGAGAUUUUUAAGAAGGCAACUGGGUCUGUAAAACUGCUUUCUUAACUUUGAACGCAUUCACUUGGGUGAGGUACAGAGAUUUUGGGGGAAGGAAAGGGUGCCAUUUCUCUGUGUCCCUGGGCGCGUAUCCUUUGGGUUAACAGGAUUCAGGAUUUGUGAGCUUGGCCUGAAAAAGUCUGUCUCUGCCAGACUUGAGAGAAGUGGUGUGUGGCCUGGCGGGUUAGCUCUGUCCUAUAGUCCCUGGAAGCGGCCAUCCUGAGUCUUGGUGAACUGGGCAGAGUAAGGCAACAUUGACCAGACUCAAGGCUUCCAGAUGGUGGCCAGAGCUCCAGGGAUCAGAGCUGGAGAGCACAAAGGUCCUCCCCAGCCCCCAGGACCCUCCCUAGCCAAGGACUUGUUAGUAGGUGUAUGCAGCAGAGUGGAUGGGGCUGAGGGCAAAGCAGUCAAAACUCUUAGCCACCAGCUGUGACUCCCUGUGUCCAAAGUGCCUUCUGGUGAAGAGUGGACCCAAGAACCUGAAAGAGGGCCGAGUUUCAAGAGCCAAGGGAAUUUGGCUUUUUGGGGGGUGGGUUGUGUUAGCUGUGGCUUGGGAUCCUAUAGAGAUUAGCACCAGAUGAGUCCAGAGCCCUUGUGGUUUGCAGGGACUUUGCCAUGCUGGUGAUGGUCAGGGACAGUGGGAGAUACUUCACUAUGUUGCCUUCUGGCUAAAGAAGGGCAGUGUGCAGGGCAGGGGAAUUGUUAUCACGGAGCCUAGGAAGGGGCAUUGGCUGGGCAGUGCAAGUCCUGAGCUGAACAAGGAAGACCACGUGCUGGUCCUGGUCGCAGAACAUACAUGUCCACACUGUGUAUGGCCCUGUAAGGGAGAUGGUGCAUGGGGCUGUCAGGUUCCAAGACUCCAGCCUGUCUCCAGCUUGCUACCAAGGGUACAAAGCAGCUGAGUCUGACUUGGCUGCCUGUGAUCUGUGUUCAUCAGCAUUCUUACUGGAUUUCUCUUGGAAAAUUAAUACAUAGCCAUCUGGUCUAUCAGUCUGAGUUUGGUGCAUCUGAAAUAAUUGGCUGGAUUAGAUAAGAUAGAGGCUGAAGGAACUCCACAAAGGCAAAAGGACCAGCCCCAUACCGAUCUCAUGAGACUAUAUCUCAGUCUCCAUUUCCUCCAUCUUCCUCCACUUCCCCUCAUUUCUACAGCCACUCCUCUGGCCUCCUCUCCCUCCACCCCCAGGCUGCUGCUGCUGAGCCCUGCAGGUCUCAUGGAGAAGCCACUCAGAUAGGGUUGGAGUUAGAUGCAGAGCUGGAACCCACAGUGGAGAUACAGCUGGGAGAGCAUGGGAGGCUCAGUGAGAGCCAACCAUAGAAAGAUCAAGGCUUAUAACAUAUAAAAGAAAUAGAGACCCACUUCUAGAGGGAAGCGGGUAGCCCGCCUUCCUGGAAGGAUGCAUGAAGCUGAACAGCCUUGGGGAGUUGACUGACAGCUGGGGAGUUGGUCUGGCAGUGUGGUCUGUAUUGACUGUAUUGCAUACUUCACUUUCUAAGGUUGACCAGGGAGGUCAUCGUCCUCAGCCUCUGCCUACAAGUGGGUUGCCAAAUGGCCCUUUAUUGCCCAUGCAGCUUUCAUCAGCUUGGUCACCCAGGUGAUUGCCCUCAAUCCCUGAGACUUCACUGGUUUCCCAUGAACAUUGGGUUCAUAGUACCUCUUGUCUGCCACUGCAAGCUAGCUUGUGUUUUAGGAAACUCUAACAAACUUUCCAAAUGGACUUACCUUUCUUGCUGUAGGACUUCUGCUUUGCAUAAUCACUUGCUUGGUCAGCCACGAGGCUGCAUGCUGAUAAAUCAGAAGUAAAAUAAGUUGUUUGAAGUGAGCGACAGGAAAAAGAACUGAUUUUGAGCAGAUACUUUCUGAAUGAAAUGAGAGCCUGAGACAUGAGUCUGAAGAACAGGAUGCCAACUUUCAAGCAUUUCAACCGGGAAGCUCCAAAAUUCUCUGAGCUCAGUGAAUUCCCAUUUAAUUCUGAGGAGACUCCUCAGGGACCUAGUGAGUUUUUUUUUUUUACCAUAACACAAGGGAUGGGGUUUGAUGCACAAUGAAAGAAAUCAUAGCUUAAGUUAGUCUGAGUUUUACCGUAUUUUGGAAAUGCUCCAAAUAGGCCACAUCCUCUAAGACCAUAGUCUGUAGAUUAUUAUUCUUUUUUAUUAUUCUCAGGAAUAAACUUGCUGAAUCACCA